GAUGAACGCUAGCGGUAGGCCUAAUACAUGCAAGUCGAACGAAGCCUUCGGGCUUAGUGGCGGACGGGUGCGUAACGCGUAUGCAACUUACCCUUCAGCGGGAGACAACCCUGGGAAACCGGGGCUAAUACCGCAUAGGACCAGCGCUUCGCAUGGAGCAAUGGUUAAAGACUUCGGUCACUGAAGGCUGGGCAUGCGUCUGAUUAGCUAGAUGGUGAGGUAACGGCUCACCAUGGCGACGAUCAGUAGCUGGUCUGAGAGGAUGAUCAGCCACACUGGCACUGAGACACGGGCCAGACUCCUACGGGAGGCAGCAGUAGGGAAUAUUGGUCAAUGGGGGCAACCCUGAACCAGCCAUACCGCGUGAGGGAAGACGGUCCACAGGAUUGUAAACCUCUUUUCUCAGAGACUAAGGCUCUAUUGGAUAGGGAUUGCAGGUACCUGAGGAAUAAGCACCGGCAAACUACGUGCCAGCAGCCGCGGUAAUACGUAGGGUGCAAGCGUUGUCCGGAAUUAUUGGGUUUAAAGGGUACGUAGGCGGAGCGAUAAGCUGCGGGUGAAAUAUCAGGGCUCAACCCUGGUGCUGCCUGCGGAACUGUUGUUCUUGAGCACAGAUGAGGCAGCUGGAACGAGUGGUGUAGCGGUGAAAUGCGUAGAGAUCACUCAGAACACCGAUUGCGAAGGCAGGCUGCUAGACUGUGACUGACGCUGAGGUACGAAAGCGUGGGGAGCGAACAGGAUUAGAUACCCUGGUAGUCCACGCCGUAAACGUUGGAUACUGGCCAUUGGCUUGUUUAGAAGUCAGUGGCUGAGCGAAAGCGUUAAGUAUCCCACCUGGGGAGUACGCCCGCAAGGGUGAAACUCAAAGGAAUUGACGGGGGCCCGCACAAGUGGUGGAGCAUGUGGUUUAAUUCGAUGAUACGCGAGGAACCUUACCUGGGCUCGAAUGCAAGGUGCAACCUGGAGAAAUCCGGGGUCCCUUCGGGGCGCUUUGCAAGGUGCUGCAUGGCUGUCGUCAGCUCGUGCCGUGAGGUGUUGGGUUAAGUCCCGCAACGAGCGCAACCCUUAUCGUCAGUUGCCAGCAGGUUAAGCUGGGGACUCUGACGAGACUGCCCUCGCAAGAGGAGAGGAAGGCGAGGACGACGUCAAGUCAUCAUGGCCCUUACGCCCAGGGCGACACACGUGCUACAAUGGCUGGUACAGCGGGAGGCAAUACCGCGAGGUGGAGCAAAUCCGUAAAAGCCAGUCUCAGUUCGGAUCGCAGUCUGCAACUCGACUGCGUGAAGCCGGAAUCACUAGUAAUCGCGGAUCAGCCAUGCCGCGGUGAAUACGUUCCCGGGCCUUGUACACACCGCCCGUCAAGCCAUGGAAGCUGGGGGCGCCUGAAGUCGCUGCGCUAGGCAGCGCCGAGGGCGAAACCGGUAACUAGGGC
rnacentral:rRNA from 1 species